UACGGAGGAUGCGAGCGUUAUCCGGAUUUAUUGGGUUUAAAGGGUGCGUAGGCGGUCCGUUAAGUCAGCGGUAAAAUUGCGGGGCUCAACCCCGUCGAGCCGUUGAAACUGGCAGACUUGAGUUGGCGAGAAGUACGCGGAAUGCGCGGUGUAGCGGUGAAAUGCAUAGAUAUCGCGCAGAACUCCGAUUGCGAAGGCAGCGCACCGGCGCCCUACUGACGCUCAGGCACGAAAGCGUGGGUAUCGAACAGG
rnacentral:rRNA from 1 species